rnacentral:RNase_P_RNA from 1 species
CCUGCAAGUCGGCUCAUCGCUUCAGUAGCAAUGCUGGGGAGGAAAGUCCGGGCAGCGCAGAGUACCGCACUUCCUAACGGGAAGGAGCAUGGCUGGGAACAGCUAUGUUACAGCUAGUGCCACAGAAAUAUACCGCCCUGGCCUGCCAGGGUAAGGGUGAAAAGGUGGAGUAAGAGCCCACCGGCUGCAGUGUGAAUUGCAGUGUCCAGGCAAACCUUGCGGGCUGAAAGACCAAAUAGGUCCUGUUUGAGAGUUACUCGCUCGUAUGCAGGAUGGGUAGGUUGAUAGAUGCUGGUGGUGACACCAGUACCAGAUAAAUGGUGAGCAUUUGCCUAAGGGCAAAUACAGAACCCGGCUUACAGACUUGCACUUUUU